GAUGAAGAACGUAGCGAAAUGCGAUAAGUAAUGUGAAUUGCAGAAUUCAGUGAAUCAUCGAAUCUUUGAACGCACAUUGCGCCCCUUGGUAUUCCGAGGGGCAUGCCUGUUCGAGCGUCAUUAUAACCCCUCAAGCUCAGCUUGGUGUUGGGGCCCGCCGCACGGGCAGCCCUUAAAAUCAGUGGCGGUGCCAUCUGGCUCUAAGCGUAGUAAUUCUUCUCGCUAUAGAGUCCCGGUGGAUGCUUGCCAUUAACCCCCAAUUUUCUAUGGUUGACCUCGGAUCAGGUAGGGAUACCCGCUGAACUUAAGCAUAUCAAUAAGCGGAGGA
rnacentral:misc_RNA from 1 species